CGCGUAGGCGGGAAUUUAAGUAAGGUGUGAAAACUAUGGGCUCAACCUAUAGACUGCACUUUAAACUGGAUUUCUUGAGGGCAGGAGAGGAAAGUGGAAUUCCUAGUGUAGCGGUGAAAUGCGUAGAUAUUAGGAGGAACACCAGUGGCGAAGGCGACUUUCUGGACUGUACCUGACGCUGAGGCGCGAAAGCGUGGGGAGCGAACA
rnacentral:rRNA from 1 species